CCUACGGGUGGCAACAGUCGAGAAUCAUUCACAAUGGGGGAAACCCUGAUGGUGCGACGCCGCGUGGGGGAAUGAAGGUCUUCGGAUUGUAAACCCCUGUCAUGUGGGAGCAAAUUAAAAAGAUAGUACCACAAGAGGAAGAGACGGCUAACUCUGUGCCAGCAGCCGCGGUAAUACAGAGGUCUCAAGCGUUGUUCGGAAUCACUGGGCGUAAAGCGUGCGUAGGCUGUUACGUAAGUCGGGUGUGAAAGGCGCGGGCUCAACCCGCGGACGGCACAUGAUACUGCGAGACUAGAGUGAUGGAGAGGGAAGCGGAAUUCUCGGUGUAGCAGUGAAAUGCGUAGAUAUCGGGAGGAACACUCGUGGCGAAGGCGGGUUCCUGGACAUUAACUGACGCUGAGGCACGAAGGCCAGGGGAGCGAAAGGGAUUAGAUACCCCUGUAGUC
rnacentral:rRNA from 1 species